CUGGGCGUAAAGCGUGCGCAGGCGGAUUGUUAAGCAAGAUGUGAAAUCCCCGGGCUUAACCUGGGAAUGGCAUUUUGAACUGGCAGUCUAGAGUGCGUCAGAGGGGGGUGGAAUUCCACGUGUAGCAGUGAAAUGCGUAGAGAUGUGGAGGAACACCAAUGGCGAAGGCAGCCCCCUGGGAUGACACUGACGCUCAUGUACGAAAGCGUGGGUAGCAAACAGGAUUAGAUACCCUGGUAGUCCACGCCCUAAACGAUGUCAACUGGUUGUUGGGGGAGUGAAAUCCCUUAGUAACGAAGCUAACGCGUGAAGUUGACCGCCUGGGGAGUACGGUCGCAAGAUUAAAACUCAAAGGAAUUGACGGGGACCCGCACAAGCGGUGGAUGAUGUGGAUUAAUUCGAUGCAACGCGAAAAACCUUACCUACCCUUGACAUGUCCGGAAUCCUGCAGAGAUGCGGGAGUGCUCGAAAGAGAACCGGAACACAGGUGCUGCAUGGCUGUCGUCAGCUCGUGUCGUGAGAUGUUGGGUUAAGUCCCGCGACGAGCGCAACCCUUAUCAUUAGUUGCUACGCAAGGGCACUCUAAUGAGACUGCCGGUGACAAACCGGAGGAAGGUGGGGAUGACGUCAAGUCCUCAUGGCCCUUAUGGGUAGGGCUUCACACGUCAUACAAUGGUCGGUACAGAGGGUUGCCAAGCCGCGAGGUGGAGCCAAUCCCAGAAAGCCGAUCGUAGUCCGGAUUGUUCUCUGCAACUCGAGAGCAUG
rnacentral:rRNA from 1 species